GACGAACGCUGGCGGCGUGCUUAACACAUGCAAGUCGAACGGUGAAGCGCCUUCCUUUUUGGUGGGUGUGGAUGAGUGGCGAACGGGUGAGUAACACGUGAGUAACCUGCCCCCUUCUUCUGGAUAACCGCAUGAAAGUGUGGCUAAUACGGGAUAUUCUGGGUCUGUCGCAUGAUGGGUCUGGGAAAGAUAUUGUUUCGGUGGGGGAUGGGCUCGCGGCCUAUCAGCUUGUUGGUGGGGUGAUGGCCUACCAAGGCGGUGACGGGUAGCCGGCCUGAGAGGGUGGACGGUCACUGGGACUGAGACACGGCGCAGCCUCCUACGGGAGGCAGCAGGGGGGAAUGUUGCACAAUGGGCGCAAGCCUGAUGCAGCGACGCCGCGUGAGGGAUGGAGGCCUUCGGGUUGUGAACCUCUUUCGCCAGUGAAGCAGGCCUGCCUCGUUUGUGGGUGGGUUGACGGUAGCUGGAUAAGAAGCGCCGGCUAACUACGUG
rnacentral:rRNA from 1 species